rnacentral:rRNA from 1 species
UACGUAGGGGGCGAGCGUUGUCCGGAUUUACUGGGCGUAAAGGGCGCGCAGGCGGCUGCUCAAGUCAGGCGUGAAAGGCCUGGGCUCAACCCGGGAAUUGCGCUUGAGACUGGGCUGGCUUGAGUGCGGGAGAGGAUGGUGGAAUUCCCAGUGUAGAGGUGAAAUGCGUAGAUAAUUGGGAGGAACACCAGUGGCGAAGGCGGCUCACUGGACCGGAACUGACGCUGAGGCGCGAAAGCGUGGGGAGCAAACAGG